AUGCCUUACAUUACACUAACCAUAUUCAGAGAAAAUCAAAUAAGUUCAGCUAGCCAAACUGCUCUGCGUGUUAAGGGAAAAAACCAGAAAAAUGAACUCCAAGCUUCAAGCACCUAUCCCAAAAUUCAAGCCACAAUAAAAGUCGCUCUAAUUCUCAAAUAUUUGUUGUCGCCUGCAUCCAGUAACUCAAACGAAAUCCAAAUAAACCUGCAGCCCCACAUCCAUCAAACAAUUCGCUACACAAAUCCAAAUUGA